rnacentral:tRNA from 2 species
GGGGAAUUAGCUCAAUUGGUAGAGCACUGCCUUUGCAAGGCAGGGGUUAGGGGUUCGAGUCCCCUAUUCUCCAC